rnacentral:snRNA from 1 species
GGAUGUAAGGGCAAUCUGGCUGCGACAUCUGUCACCCUAUUGAUCAGCAGGGUUGACUCACCUGAGCUGGUUGACUAGGCAGGUGUCCCGCUCCUGCCUCACUGCUCCAUGUGUGUCCCUCCUGAAGCUGCACGCUUGGUCUAAGAGGAUGGCCUUCUCCAAAUAGAGGAGGACUGGUCUUUGGUCAAGGGUAUAUGAGUAGCUGCGUUCCCCUGCUAGAACCUCCAAACAAGCUCUCAAAUAAAUUCAAAAAAAUAAUUUACAAACCAAUAGGAAGAACAAAUGACUGACCGACUGAAUAUAUUCUCAGUGUGUCAGAAACCU